CAAUGAUGACUACAAUGAUGGUGACACCGAUCAGAUUCUCCUUGGGAUCGGCUAGCACCCCUAGGCGUCCGCGGCGGGGAGGGGACGCCGUUGUGGAUGGGGAAGGGACGAGGCGAGGGCGGACGGUGGUGGUGAGAGGGGGCGGCGGUAGGGGGCGCUGUCGGGCGACGGGGUAUGGAGGGCAGGACGAGGCCGGUGGUGCUGAGAGGAGGCAGCAGUAGGGGACGCUGUCGGGGGAUGGGGUGUGGAGGGCAGGCCGAGGCCGGUGGUGCUAGAGGACGCCGCCAGGGGAUGGGGUGUGGACGGCAGGCCGCGGUUGGGGACGCUGUCGGGGGAUAGGUUAUGGACGGCAAGCGGCGACCGGUGGUGUGGUAGGGAACGCUGUCGGGGGUGACGUUGGGGACGGUAGGCGGCGGCCGGAGGUAGCGAGAGGAAGCAGCGGUGGAGGCGACGGACCCAAUUAUACGGACCGACGCAAAGCCCGCUUUAUUAGAGCGCCCUCUGCCUCAACUAAACGAAGACUUAACACGUUAGCCCCUUCUCUUCUCUAUUUAAAGACAAACACGCCGUUCCCGACAGGUUUUCCUCCUUAAAAAGGCCCAGAUAAUUCCUCAACAUUAGUCCUAGGAGGGGGGAGAGGAAAUUAUAGAGGAGGGAAGACCUGAUCUCGACCGGAAUUAUUUAUCUCUCAGCCUCCUCAUCCUUCCCGGGGAGCAGCUAGCUUAUUCAACCGCAGGGACUAAACUAAAAACGGCCGCUAAUCAGAGGAAAGAACGCGGCCGGAUUUAUUCGUCUCCUCCUCAUCAUCCCCCCUAAGCUUAUACCCGUCUAGUCCGUAGACGGCGAACAGCGUCUAGGUUAUUCCAGCUAGGUUUAUCAAGUCCGCAGAGUAGUAGUUCUUGUCAAAAAAGUUGUUCUGGUCAACUAGACUAGUCGGUACUGCUUCUUUUCUGCAGUGGCGUCUUUGUUGCAUUUACGUUGUGUCUUUCGUUGAGAGUUGUUUCUGCGACGACCGUCGCUUCUUCAGCCUCUGUCCGAAUCGUUCGACGGAUUACUGUAAGAUGAGUUGUAAGACCUCUCCCACCUGUGCGAGCUACGUAAACGACCGGAGUUCGCGGACACCGACGCGUUAUACUCCAAACCACUUUCACUGUAUGGGUUGUAGGAGUCGUGAACGUUCGAGAACCUCAGAAACGUAAAUUGGUUAACGCUGAGCCCCUACUUAAGACACCACGUUGAUCUUGUACGAUUUGAAUGACUCGAGCUCCAGUUCAUACCCUUUAAACUCUAUCAACUCGACUGUACAGAUGGUUUUGAGGUUGCCCACUCGAUAUUCCCGACCAAGUUGAGAGUAUUUCCAGGGGACAUAAAACCAAAACAUGGUGUCGAAAGUUUCAACUCCGAAUGAUUUUAACCGUGGGCUGGUUGAUCCUGAGAACUCAAUUCAGUCGAGGAACUAUUACAAGGAGUGUAUCCGUUGGACGUAGACCUAAAAGUUUCACUUUUCUAAACCCAAGACGGUCUUUCGGGCUUCGACGAGUCCGGACACGAGUCGGUUGAUGUCGUCCACUUAGACCUGUUAGAAAGACUUCCUACACUAAAUCGAACCUGUUACAAAUAAGAACUUCGACGUGGCAGGGAUUUUCUCGAGACGUAGUGUCAGAACCUAGUAACCACGUUAUACCACUACUCUCUGUUUCUCAAGGCCUUCUUGUUACCAAAGACACUUUUCCGUCUGCACCUCACCUUUGGNNNNNNNNNNNNNNNNNNNNNNNNNNNNNNNNNNNNNNNNNNNNNNNNNNNNNNNNNNNNNNNNNNNNNNNNNCUGCUGUAGAAACACGCUAAGUAGUCCACACAGUACCUUGUACGCCAAUUAUACCGUCUCUAUAGAGACGUACUGUCCUUUUUCCAUACAGACGCGACACCACAGAACCUAGGGCUCUACUUCAUGGGUAGCUCCAUAGGUGCCUUACGACUACUUGCGUGUGUAUAGUGACUUCUUAACCCCUCCAGAAACGGACGAUACCAAGCGAACACCUGCAUU
rnacentral:rRNA from 1 species